UACGAAGGGGGCUAGCGUUGCUCGGAAUUACUGGGCGUAAAGGGAGCGUAGGCGGGUUAUCAAGUUGGGGGUGAAAGCCCGGGGCUCAACCUCGGAAUUGCCUUCAAAACUGAUAACCUGGAGUAUGGAAGAGGUAAGUGGAACUCCGAGUGUAGAGGUGAAAUUCGUAGAUAUUCGGAAGAACACCAGUGGCGAAGGCGACUUACUGGUCCAUUACUGACGCUGAGGCUCGAAAGCGUGGGGAGCACACAGG
rnacentral:rRNA from 1 species